rnacentral:rRNA from 1 species
GGGGGGGGGGGGGGGGGGGGGGGGGGGGGGCAGGGGGGGGGGGGGGGGGAGGGGGUUGGGCCUCUGAGGUUGGCGGCGGACGGGUGGGUAGGACGUGGGGAACCUACCUAUAAGACUGGGAGAACUGCGGGAAGCCGGUGCUAAUACCGGAUAAUAUAUUGAACCGCAUGGUUCAAUAGUGAAAGACGGUUUUGCUGUCACUUAUAGAUGGAUCCGCGCCGCAGUAGCUAGUUGGUAAGGUAACGGCUUACGAAGGCAACGAGGCGUAGCCGACCUGAGGGGGUGAUCGGCCACACUGGAACUGAGACACGGUCCAGACUCCUACGGGAGGCAGCAGUAGGGAAUCUUCCGCAAUGGGCGAAAGCCUGACGGAGCAACGCCGCGUGAGUGAUGAAGGUCUUCGGAUCGUAAAACUCUGUUAUUAGGGAAGAACAAAUGUGUAAGUAACUAUGCACGUCUUGACGGUACCUAAUCAGAAAGCCACGGCUAACUACGUG